rnacentral:snRNA from 1 species
AUCACUUCUCGGCCUUUUGGCUAAGAUCAAGUGUAGUAUCUGUUCACGUCAGCCUAAAAUAUAAGUUUCUUGUGUUUAUGAGCCAAUCAUU